GGCCAAAAUAUUAAAUUUCUUUUGCCCUUUCCUUUCUCUCCACUUCCACCGAACCGAAAUAAAACCCUUCCAAAACCCACAUACCUUUGUUUUUCGCCCUUUCCUUGUCAAAAACCUAGAUUCUGCAAUUCUAGAAGAAGAAUAAGAAAAACCCUAGAUUAAGAAAAAUGUCGAUGUCAAAGAGCUCCAAGAUGCUCCAACACAUAAACUACAGAAUGCGAGUCACAAUUCAAGACGGCCGUCAACUAGUAGGCAAAUUCAUGGCAUUCGAUCGCCACAUGAAUUUAGUCCUCGGUGACUGCGAGGAGUUUCGCAAACUUCCACCAGCCAAAGGCAAAAAGAACAACGAAGAGCGCGAAGACCGCCGGACUCUCGGCCUCGUUCUCCUCCGCGGCGAAGAAGUUAUUUCCAUGACCGUCGAAGGUCCACCUCCUCAAGAAGAGUCGCGCGCUAAGGCUGUUUCUGCUACUGCCGUCGCGGGACCCGGCAUUGGACGCGCUGCUGGCCGUGGGAUUCCUACUGCUCCUCUUAUUCAAGCUCAGCCUGGUCUUGCUGGUCCCGUUAGAGGUGUUGGUGGCCCCGCUCCUGGUAUGAUGCAGCCUCAGAUCUCGCGUCCUCCGGUCCCGCAACUUUCUGCUCCUCCUAUGAGUUAUCCACCGCCUGUUAUUAGGCCCCCUGGACAGAUGGCUUUCCCUGGUCAAGGUCCUCCACCGAUGGGGCGCGGUCCACCUCCUCCUCAGUUUGGUGCUAGGCCUCCACCACCUGGUCAGGGUUUUCCUAUGCCUCCUCCUCCACAGUUCGGGCAAAGACCCAUGGGAAUGCCUCCGCAGCCACAGGGCGGUCCACCGCCUAUGAUGAGAGGACCUCCUGCUCCGCCAAGACCUGGAAUGGCACCACCUCCUCGUCCAGGGAUGCCUCCUCCACCUGGUUAUGGACCUCCUCGUCCCGGUAUGCCUCCUCCUCAUAAUCCACAACAGCAGAAUCAGCAGCAGUAAUUAUAGAUAUGGAUCCAAUGCCUAUUUUUCUUCACCACGAUGGAAAUUAAGAAGAAAACAUAAGGCUCACUGUAGUUGUGCUGUGAAAAUUCUCAGAAUGAAGAUUGCAAAAGAGCUCUCUCAAUUGGUGAAGCCUUUGUUUGAGUUUUGCCUUCAUUGUCUGAAACAUCUAGUUUACUAUUGGGCGGUUCUGUAUUGGUUUGCACUUAUGUGUAUCCUUCUCCUAUUGUAGUCUAGGACUUUUGAGCUGAUGCUGUGAGGGUACUAUAAAUUAUGUUGGCUUGGUAUUUCCUACCAAAAUCUAGCGUAGCACAUGUGAUCAUCAGAAAAUACUUCUUGGCAGUGCAGCAUUUUAAUUGAAUUUAUGUGAAAAAAACAUUUCAGGAUGUUGCGGACA